rnacentral:rRNA from 1 species
AACUUAAAGGAAUUGACGGGGGCCCGCACAAGCGGAGGAGCAUGUGGUUUAAUUCGAUGAUACGCGAGGAACCUUACCUGGGCUCGAACGUAAGAUGACUGUAGGUGAAAGCUUACAUCUCUUCGGAGCAUUUUACGAGGUGCUGCAUGGUUGUCGUCAGCUCGUGCCGUGAGGUGUCGGGUUAAGUCCCAUAACGAGCGCAACCCCUACCUUUAGUUGCCAUCAGGUUAAGCUGGGGACUCUAAAGGAACUGCCGGUGUUAAACCGGAGGAAGGUGGGGAUGACGUCAAGUCCUCAUGGCCUUUAUGACCAGGGCUACACACGUACUACAAUGGCCGAUACAAAGGGCAGCGACACUGCGAGGUGAAGCCAAUCCCGUAAAAUCGGUCUCAGUCCGGAUUGGAGUCUGCAACUCGACUCCAUGAAGUUGGAAUCGCUAGUAAUCGUGGAUCAGCAUGCCACGGUGAAUACGUUCCCGGGCCUU